ensembl:lncRNA
ACCUGGAGUACUUGACUAGCAGAAAAACUUGACAUUCAAUCCUCUGUUAAAUGACCUGUUAGCCCGGUAUGCUACGAGCACAUUUUUGAUUGCUAGUCAGAAGAAAAUUCCAGAAGAAAGGCUGUAGCUAUUUUCUACUAUGACUCUAGUUGGUCUCUAAUUUGGACACAGAAAAGCUCCUUAAAGAGAGACUCAACUUUUAUGAGUUAUUUUUGAGCUUUCGAUGUCUUUUCCCAGUCUUUACUGUUUGGAUCAUAUUUUAAAAUAUGACCGAGGAUCAUGCUAGAAGACCAAAUCCCUUCAAUUUACCAUCUUACUAAGAUUAGCUGAUUUUUUUCCCCUUCUGGGGAUUGACUUAGAGAGGCCAAAUUUUUGAAUAUCAAAACUGCUUUCUUUUUGAGCCAAAAAAAAUCUUGACUAGAGUUCUUUGGGAUCCUCAAAGACAUUGUAAAGUUUAUUUUUAUGAACAGUAGUUUGGGACCAUAGAUCAGAAGAAGAAAGAGCCCAUGACUUUUGUGUUUCCAGUUUUUAAUUUUUAAAUAGUAUGAAACAUAGGCAGUGUCUGAAAAGGUAACAGUAGUAUUUCAGGGGAUAGGAUCUUUACAUCGUGCACAUUUCUUGAGAAAAGAAUUAUCCCAGAAUAACUUUGUUUGGUGAAAGAAAGAAAUAGAUCUUCAGUGUAAUUUAGCAGCAAAGCUUCCAUUUAACUUUAAGAAUCAAACUUGUAGUUUUAGAGAAAUCAUCUUUCAGGCCUCUUUGAUGUCCUAAAUCUUUAUAUACGUCAUUUAAGAUUAGUUUAUCUUGCGAUACAGCAAAAGUUGAAAGUAAGCUUCUCCUCUGUUUACAGACAGAAGAGGAGGAGAUUUCACCCAGCUCGCUUCUUGCAAGCAGUCCUCUUUCUGUAAUGGUCAGCGUGUAGAAGCUCACCAACCAGGAACUGUGAGCCCAUCAUUCGGAUGCAUGGUGGUGUAUACCUUCAAUCCCGGCAUUUGGGAGACAGAGACAGGAAGAGCGUUUGGGUUACAGACGUGUGCACACAGCCUUUUACUCUGGGAUUGAAAUUAUGUAGUGAAGCUUGCACAGCUAGAAAUUUUAUCUGGUUCUGUAACAAUCAAGAAUGUGUGGACACCUACCUGUGGGAGGAGGCUUUCGGGGACAUUGUGUCUGGUUCCUGCUGACGCCAGCAUUCUGGAGAUGGACAGCUGUUCAAGGGAAUGAAGAUUCCCCCACAGGACAAGGACUAUUGCCUCCCUGAGUAUCCUAAAAGGUCUCUUGAAACAAACCAAACACUCAGAACUUCUGUGACUGUCAUGGACAGUGUCCUGUUACUGGCUUUAAACAGAGCCCCUCAUGCAGAAGAAGCCCUGUAUCCUGGAGUUAGAUGUCAAUCAUCCUGG